rnacentral:rRNA from 1 species
UGAGGAAUAUUGGUCAAUGGGCGCAAGCCUGAACCAGCCAUCCCGCGUGCAGGAAGACGGCGCUAUGCGUUGUAAACUGCUUUUCCAGGGGGAGAAACUUGCGCACGUGUUGCGCAAUUGACGGUACCCUGGGAAUAAGCAUCGGCUAACUCCGUGCCAGCAGCCGCGGUAAUACGGAGGAUGCGAGCGUUAUCCGGAUUCAUUGGGUUUAAAGGGUGCGUAGGCGGACUAUUAAGUCAGUGGUGAAAUCCUGCAGCUUAACUGCAGAACUGCCAUUGAUACUGAUAGCCUUGAGUUUGGUUAAGGUAGGCGGAAUGUGUAAUGUAGCGGUGAAAUGCUUAGAUAUUACACAGAACACCAAUUGCGGAGGCAGCUUACUGAGCCGACACUGACGCUGAGGCACGAAAGCAUGGGGAUCGAACAG